CCCAGCCCGCCGCAGCAAAUGGCGGCAGGGCCCGGAGCUGCCGCGCUACGAACCGAGCUGGGGGGAGCGGGCGACCCCCGAUGAGGCUGGAAACUGUGGUGCCUGCUGUUGGAUUAUUUCUACAGCUUGCUAUUAGCAUUGAUAUAAAGAGGAAAAAGAGAUAAACAUCUAAGAAGAAAGCUAUAAAACGGUGUCUUGAGACUCCCCAGAAACAGAAUAAGAACAGCUACUCGAAGAUAAUGUCUGGAAAAUAUGGACACUAGAAGACAAGCUGCUGUGCUGAGGUAAGAGACCAGUGGUUCCAUGCUGAGCAGGGGACAUUGGGGCUGCAACUGGCGAUGGCGGAGGAAACUCUACUUCUGCCACUGCCCAUUCUCAAUAUAAAAUGUGAUUAAUUUUUAGCAAGGUCUCAAGCCUCAUUUUCUGUCUGUAAUAUCCAGGAGUUGAAUGCUGUAGUCCUAUCAAAAUAUUGCCUCUAUUACAACUUGUA
rnacentral:lncRNA from 1 species